GACCGAGGGUGCAAACGUUGUUCGGAAUUACUGGGCAUAAGGAGCACGUAGGUGGCGCGCUAAGUUACGUGUGAAAUCCCCCGGCUCAACCGGGGAAUUGCGCGUGAUACUGGCGCGCUUGAGGCGGGUAGGGGUGAGCGGAACUCCAGGUGGAGCGGUGAAAUGCGUAGAUAUCUGGAGGAACACCGGUGGCGAAAGCGGCUCACUGGACCCGAUCUGACACUGAGGUGCGAAAGCUAGGGUAGCAAACGGGG
rnacentral:rRNA from 1 species